CUGUUACUAACACAUCGUAUAAUAUGUAAUCUGUUAUAUCCUAAAUUCAGGACCUUUACGCAUUAGUCCUAAGGAUAGCAGUUAGCUUGUAUACAUAAAUUUAUCCUUUAUCAAACUGUAAAUCUAAUAUGCACAAUGAUCUGGAAAAAAAUACCAUUGGAUUUGGAUAUACAUGUCUUUAUACAUUUUGUCAAACACUUGGCAAGCAUGUCCAAAUUCUAACUAAAUGUUAGACAGAGGAGGGCUAGGAGUUGAUUAAAUCUAGAAAGAGGAUAGGGCCAUGUUUCAAACAUUUCUGUUAUUACGCCAAGUAAUACCUGCAUCUGGGGGUCGAUUUGGUUCUCUUUAUGCCACUUGUAAGUCACAUCUUUGGUGGUCAUCUUACUAUGCUUGUAGACCAUGUUGAUCUAUCCUCUUGCAGACAGUCCUACAUGCCUUGAUCGACCUAUGCAUGACACAACUCCAAGAUAGCACGAUAGCAUUCUUCCUGCUUUGCGACAUGAUUCUUGUCAAGUGUUUCCUAUGGACAGGAACAGGAUGAUGAGACGCGACUGGUUGCUGCUCGGGAGGCGGAAUCUUCAAAACCUAACCGAUUGAGGAGAAGAUCUUGUGGAGACUGGACACAGAAGGCAUGGCUUCGAGGUUUCAAUGGCGCUGUAGGAUGUGAGCUGCAGCCACACAGGACAGGAUGAAUAGUGCGGCCCUAGAGUAGACCAUCAGAAACCCUAGAACUGGGCUGCUCGAGAGGCAUAGUUUUGGCGUUUCGGUGGAUCUAUAGGAGGUGAGCUUUAGUUCCACAGGAGGAAUAGCUCGGCCCUAGGGCAAACCAUCAGAAACCCUAAAACCUGGGCAGACCAUCAGAAACGCUAAAACAUGGACUGCUCGAGAGGCAUAUGUCUUUGAGGUUCCGAUAGAGAUGUAGGACGUGAAUCAGAAUCAGCUUCUAGAGCGUACAUCUCUUUUGUAUGCAACGUGUCAGGAUUUUUUUUUUACCAUAUUGAUGCAUGUACGUGAACCUUUUUUUGAAGUGGCCCGUACGUCAACCUAACUCUUCCUACCUUUUUUUACGUGAUGACGCUUCCUUGCCUAGUCGUUUUUUUAUGUGCUAACGCUUCCUUGCCUAGUCUAAUUACAAUGGAUGGGCUGUAUAUGUGACAACGUCAUAGUCCGAUAUGUUGGUACAUACACAUUAAUAUGUUACGUAAAAACCUUUAAAUCUCAGCCAUUAUU
rnacentral:lncRNA from 1 species